GCAGAAGUCGAACAAGAUACCAGACUAGUCCUACUGCAAAGUGGACAAUGGGCCAGAUAAAGCACAUCAGCAGGAACUGCUGGAAGCUAAAAGUAGGGCAUAUAACUGACACCCCAACCCUGAUUUGCCUGCACCCAAGCAUAUACAAUAAAGCCAUAUUGCUCUACAUUGGCCUUGCUUGUGGAUGUAAUCUCCUGCUAGCUCAGACCUUUUAUUUGGUGCCAAAAUCCGGGAGGUCUGGGAGGAUCCCACAUGGAGGCAACCGCAGGUCCCUGGAACCUUCCAGACCUCCUGUCGGACCGGGAUUGAUCACAUCUUCAGCCGGAUACUGGACCUCCAACCUUUCCUGCUGAUCCAGCAUCAACACCGGACACUAAUUCACUGGCUGCAGGCAAUCCAGGCCUUGAUCUGAUUGGCCUGGAGCCUGAAGAUGGAAGGUGCCCAGGAAAGGAUGCCCCAACCUUCAUCUCAAACUCCGAACCUCAGGCAAUGGAUAACCCAGCAGAUGCUGGACAAG